GACCUGGCUGGGUGGUCCGCUUAACGGCGUGUACUGUUCGGCUGGGCCUUACCUCUUGGUGAGCCAGUGUGCCCUUUAUUGGUGUGCAUUGGGGAACCAGGACUUUUACUUUGAAAAAAUUAGAGUGUUUAAAGCAGGCAUUUGCUUGAAUACAUUAGCAUGGAAUAAUAGAAUAGGACG
rnacentral:rRNA from 1 species